rnacentral:rRNA from 1 species
ACUUGAAUUGAAGAGUUUGAUCAUGGCUCAGAUUGAACGCUGGCGGCAGGCUUAACACAUGCAAGUCGAACGGUAGCAGGAGAAAGCUUGCUUUCUUGCUGACGAGUGGCGGACGGGUGAGUAAUGCUUGGGAAUCUGGCUUAUGGAGGGGGAUAACGACGGGAAACUGUCGCUAAUACCGCGUAUUAUCGGAAGAUGAAAGUGCGGGACUGAGAGGCCGCAUGCCAUAGGAUGAGCCCAAGUGGGAUUAGGUAGUUGGUGGGGUAAAGGCCUACCAAGCCUGCGAUCUCUAGCUGGUCUGAGAGGAUGACCAGCCACACUGGAACUGAGACACGGUCCAGACUCCUACGGGAGGCAGCAGUGGGGAAUAUUGCGCAAUGGGGGGAACCCUGACGCAGCCAUGCCGCGUGAAUGAAGAAGGCCUUCGGGUUGUAAAGUUCUUUCGGUAUUGAGGAAGGUUGAUGUGUUAAUAGCACAUCAAAUUGACGUUAAAUACAGAAGAAGCACCGGCUAACUCCGUGCCAGCAGCCGCGGUAAUACGGAGGGUGCGAGCGUUAAUCGGAAUAACUGGGCGUAAAGGGCACGCAGGCGGUUAUUUAAGUGAGGUGUGAAAGCCCUGGGCUUAAC